rnacentral:rRNA from 1 species
ACAAACGCCCAGUCUCUCUGUGCGAAUAACAACAAAGCACACCACAAAAGCUCCCACACGCGGAGAAAAAGAUGCAUCUUACAAAGCCCCAGCUCAACGCAUGUGCGAGACAGAAGGGGCACACAAUCCAUGGCGAGCAGAUCAGAGCUAUUACUCUUGCAGAUCGGUCGGGGAUCUUAAGAUCUAGGCAAUUCCCCACAAAUUGCCAUACCUUGUAUCCAUCCCCGCCGCCAAGCGCCUCCCUUUUUUCCGCCCUUCCCUACCCUUCACUUGUUUGCUGCCCUGCCCUGCGCCCUAUCAACUUUCAACAGUAGGAUAGAGGCCUACCGUGGUGGUAACGGGUAACGGGGAAUUAGGGUUCAAUUCCGGAGAGGGAGCCUGAGAAACGGCUACCACAUCCAAGGAAGGCAGCAGGCGCGCAAAUUACCCAAUCCCAAUACGGGGAGGUAGUGACAAUAAAUAACAAUACCGGGCUUUAUAAAGUUUGGUAAUUGGAAUGAGUACAAUCUAAAUCUCUUAACGAGGAUCCAUUGGAGGGCAAGUUUGGUGCCAGCAGCCGCGGUAAUUCCAGCUCCAAUAGCGUAUAUUCAAGUUGUUGCAGUUAAAAAGCUCGUAGUUGGAUCAUGGGGUGGGGUGAGUGGUCCGCCCUCACGGGUGUGUACUACUCACCUUGCUCUUUCAGCCGGGGACGCCGCCCUAGACUUCAUUGGCUGGGGCGCAGAGUCGGCGAUGUUACUUUGAAAAAAUUAGAGUGCUCAAAGCAGGCCUAUGCUCUGAACACAUUAGCAUGGAAUAACGCUAUAGGACUCCGGUCCUGUUGUGUUGGCCUUCGGGAUUGGAGUAAUGAUUAAGAGGGACAAUUGGGGGCAUUCGCACUCCGUUGUCAGAGGUGAAAUUCUUGGAUUUACGGAAGACAAACUACUGCAAAAGCAUUUGCCAAGGAUGUUUUCAUUAAUCAAGAACGAAAGUUGGGGGCUCGAAGACAAUCAGAUACCGUCCUAGUCUCAACCAUAAAUGAUGCCGACCAGGGAUUGGCGGAUGUUAUUUGGAUGACUCCGCCAGCACCUCACGAGAAAUCAAAGUCUUUGGGUUCCGGGGGGAGUAUGGUCGCAAGGCUGAAACUUAAAGGAAUUGACAAAAGGGCACCACUAGGAGUGGAGCCUGCGGCUUAAUUUGACUCAACACGGGGAAACUUACCAGGUCCAGACAUAGUAAGGAUUGACAGAUUGAGAGCUCUUUCUUGAUUCUAUGGGUGGUGGUGCAUGGCCCUUCCUAGUUGGUGGAUUGAUUUGUCUAGUUAAUUCCAAUAACGAACAAGACCUCAGCCUGCUAACUAGCUACGCAGAGGCUUGCUUCCGCGGCCAGCUUCUUAGAGGGACUUUUCGCUUCCAGCGGAAGGAAGUUUGAGGCAAUAACAGGUCUGUGAUGCCCUUAGAUGUUCUGGGCCGCACGCGUGCUACACUGAUGGACUCAACGAGUGCGUGCCUGGGCCAAAAGGCUCGGGUAAUCUUUUGAAAAUCCGUCGUGAUGGGGAUAGAUCAUUGCAAUUAUUGAUCUUCAACGAGGAAUUCCUAGUAAGUGAUCUUCAACGAGGAAUUCCUAGUAAGUGCGAGUCAUCAUCUCGCACUGACUACGUCCCUGCCCUUUGUACACACCGCCCAUCGCUCCUACCGAUUGAAUGAUCCGGUGAAGUGCUCGGAUUGUAGCGAUGCCAACGGUUCGCUGCUGGCGACGAUAUAAGAAGUUCAUUUAACCUUAUCAUUUAGAGGAAGGAGAAGUCGUAACAAGGUUUCUGUAGGUGAAGUACCGCGAG